AGAACAUUAGUAGAUGACACGAGUCAAUAAGUGAAGAACCCCAUUUUUUGUCUGAUCACACAAAACAAUUACAAAUUCAACUAGUAUUGGAUAAAGACCACUAAAAUACCACUCAAACGCAAAGGUUGUAUAAAUCACAAAUCAUAAUAAAAUACACUGGAACAAGCAAAGGUUGUCAAAAGGUGCAGUAGAAUUUAUUCCACAACUUGGAAAAUUGAGAGUUUGGGACCAUAACUACCCAAGUUGACCAUCCAUCCCACAAACUAGGAUAUUUCCAUAUGAGAGUAACUAAGGCU
rnacentral:lncRNA from 1 species